GAUGAACGCUGGCGGCGUGCCUAAUACAUGCAAGUCGAGCGAACAGACGAGGAGCUUGCUCCUUUGACGUUAGCGGCGGACGGGUGAGUAACACGUGGGUAACCUACCUAUAAGACUGGGAUAACUUCGGGAAACCGGAGCUAAUACCGGAUAAUAUUUCGAACCGCAUGGUUCGAUAGUGAAAGAUGGCUUUGCUAUCACUUAUAGAUGGACCUGCGCCGUAUUAGCUAGUUGGUAAGGUAACGGCUUACCAAGGCAACGAUACGUAGCCGACCUGAGAGGGUGAUCGGCCACACUGUAACUGAGACACGGUCCAGACUCCUACGGGAGGCAGCAGUAGGGAAUCUUCCGCAAUGGGCGAAAGCCUGACGGAGCAACGCCGCGUGAGUGAUGAAGGUCUUCGGAUCGUAAAACUCUGUUAUUAGGGAAGAACAAACGUGUAAGUAACUGUGCACGUCUUGACGGUACCUAAUCAGAAAGCCACGGCUAACUACGUG
rnacentral:rRNA from 1 species